GACGAACGUUGGCGGCGUGCUUAAUACAUGCAAGUCAACUGAAGCAGUGGUAGCAAUAUCGCUGUGGAGGUGGCGCACGGGUGAGUAACACGUAGGUAAUCUGCCUUCAGGUCUGGCAUAACUCCGGGAAACCGGGGCUAAUAGCAGAUGAUGCAGCGGCUCGACAUCGAGACAGUUGUUAAAGCUAUGGCGCCUGAAGAUGAGCCUGCGUCUGAUUAGCUAGUUGGCGGGGUAACGGCCCACCAAGGCAACGAUCAGUAGCUGGUCUGAGAGGAUGAUCAGCCACACUGGAACUGGGACACGGUCCAGACUCCUACGGGAGGCAGCAGUAAGGAAUAUUGCUCAAUGGGAGAAAUCCUGAAGCAGCAACGCCGCGUGAGGGACGAAGGGCUUUUGCUUGUAAACCUCUGUAGUGAGAGAAAAAAAUCCCAAUCUUUGGGACAUGAUGGUAUCUCAAAAGUAAGCCCCGGCUAACUACGUG
rnacentral:rRNA from 1 species